rnacentral:lncRNA from 1 species
ACAUAUAUAUUAAACCAUUAUACAUUAUACACAUAUCAGAACAUAAUUCAGUUUUUACGUGUAUCUAAACCUAGGAUUUACAUACCCAAUCAAAAAGAGUAAAGGAACCAAUUAAGGAAGAGUUGAUAACAAAACACAAUUUUCUCCCAAAAUAAAUUUCAACGUUAUCACGUCGACUUGGCGGCUCCAACAAAAGACUUCCCUCUAAGUCACUUAUUGCUGCUCAUUUGCUCCCAUGAACGAAAGUU